UGGUGGAGUGAUUUGUCUGGUUAAUUCCGAUAACGAACGAGACCUUAACCUGCUAAAUAGUUACGGGAAUCGUGUGGCCGGUAACGCUGUGGUUCGCCCGCAAGGGAAGCCCAGCGCCCGGUCGCAUACCAACGAUUCCCGGCCAACUUCUUAGAGGGACAACCAGUGACUAACUGGGGGAAGAUUGAGGCAAUAACA
rnacentral:rRNA from 1 species